rnacentral:rRNA from 1 species
AUGCAGUCGAACGGGCUCUUCGGAGCAAGUGGCGGACGGGUGAGUAACGCGUGAGAAUGUGCCUUCAGGAUGGGGAUAACAAUAGGAAACUAAUGCUAAGACCCAAUGUGCCUUAAGUGGUGAAAAAUGAAAAUUGCCUGAAGAGGAGCUCGCGUCUGAUUAGCUAGUUGGGGUGGUAAAAGCGCACCAAGGCAACGAUCAGUAGCUGGUCUUAGAGGAUGAGCAGCCACACUGGGACUGAGACACGGCCCAGACUCCUACGGGAGGCAGCAGUGGGGAAUUUUCCGCAAUGGGCGAAAGCCUGACGGAGCAAUACCGCGUGAGGGAGGAAGGCUCUUGGGUUGUAAACCUCAAAACUUAGGGAAGAAAAAAAUGACGGUACCUAAUUUAAGCAUCGGCUAACUCCGUGCCAGCAGCCGCGGUAAUACG